GACGAACGCUGGCGGCGCGCUUAACACAUGCAAGUCGAGCGAAGCGGCGGACGGGUGAGUAACACGUGAGUAACCUGCCUUAGACAUUGGGAUAGCCUCGGGAAACCGGGAUUAAUACCAAAUGGUCUAAGAUGGCAUCGCGUCCCAUUAGCUAGUUGGUGGGUAACGGCCCACCAAGGCGACGAUGGGUAGCCGGCCGUGUAGGGUGAACGGCCACGUUGGGACUGAGCAACGGUCCAAACUCGACGGGAGGAAGCAGUGGGGAAUAUUGCACAAUGGAGGUAACUCUGAUGCAGCGACGCCGCGUGAACGAAGAAGGCUUUCGAGUCGUAAAGUUCUUUUAUAUGGGAAGCGGUACCAGAAGAAAAAGCCCCGGCUAACUACGUGCCAGCAGCCGCGGUAAUAC
rnacentral:rRNA from 1 species